CCUACGGGAGGCAGCAGUGGGGAAUAUUGGACAAUGGGCGCAAGCCUGAUCCAGCCAUGCCGCGUGAGUGAUGAAGGCCUUAGGGUUGUAAAGCUCUUUCAGUGGGGAAGAUAAUGACGGUACCCACAGAAGAAGCCCCGGCUAACUUCGUGCCAGCAGCCGCGGUAAU
rnacentral:rRNA from 2 species